UACGUAGGGGGCACGCGUUGUCCGGAUUUAUUGGGCGUAAAGAGCGUGUAGGCGGUUAGGUAGGUCCGUUGUGAAAACUCGAGGCUCAACCUCGAGACGCCGAUGGAAACCAUCUAACUAGAGUCCGGAAGAGGAGAGUGGAAUUCCUGGUGUAGCGGUGAAAUGCGCAGAUAUCAGGAAGAACACCCGUGGCUAAGGCGGCUCUCUAGUACGGUACUGACGCUGAGACGCGAAAGCGUGGGGAGCGAACAGG
rnacentral:rRNA from 1 species